CAAACAUUUCUGUACACUGUAUACAAAAUAUAUUAUAAAAAUGUAUGCAUUGAAUGGGAUUCCGAUCGCAUUAUUCUUGAUUUGUUGACUGCAAUAACAUUAUUUAAUCCAAAACGACAACAAUUAAUACAUAGAGAUGUUAUAAAAUAUCAGCAAAACAUAUACCUAUAUUUGCUUAAACGUUAUCUUCAAAUAAAAUAUGGAUCUGAAUGUGAAGCCAACGAUAAGUUUUGCCGACUUUUAUUGACACUGAGAGACAUUAAUAAAUUGGGACAAAAACAACUUCAAUACAACGUUAAUGUUAAUCCAAAUUAUUA